UACGUAGGGGGCAAGCGUUGUCCGGAAUCAUUGGGCGUAAAGAGCGUGUAGGCGGUCCGGUAAGUCGGCUGUGAAAGUCCAGGGCUCAACCCUGGGAUGCCGGUCGAUACUGCCGGACUAGAGUUCGGAAGAGGCGAGUGGAAUUCCUGGUGUAGCGGUGAAAUGCGCAGAUAUCAGGAGGAACACCAAUUGCGAAGGCAGCUCGCUGGGACGUAACUGACGCUGAGACGCGAAAGCGUGGGGAGCAAACAGG
rnacentral:rRNA from 1 species